ensembl:lncRNA
CCGUGGGAAGGAUGUAGCUGUUCACUUCAGAAAGAAUACAAUUAUUGCAAGAUGACUUCACCGGCUAAAGGCUAGCGAUGCUCAUAUCAGGUGGAGUUACAGAGGUCACUUACAUGUGGAGCAGAGAACUUCAGAGCCUCGCUUGUUAAAUGUUAUACUAAUGCAAUUCAGCGAUUGCCUGAAGACACCAUGGACCUAAGCUCAACUUUUCAAAGCAUAGGAGUAGGGCAUGAGCUGGUGGCUGAACAUGAAGCAGCAAAGCAGGCCCAGACCACAACACUACCACAUCCAUCUUUGUUGGUAUGAUGCUGUUUUUAUGACAUGCUGUGUUAGUUUUAUGCAGAUGUAGCAGGACUCAACACUUCCAAAGAGUUCAGCUUUUGUCUCAUUAGCAGAUUUUUGUCCC